GUUUUGGUUUCAAAGUAAACCAUUGUACUUGGUGAGAAUUGAGUAUGCCAUGCAUCUUUUUCUUUUUUUUUCUUUUUUUUUCUUUUUUUUUCUGGUGAGAGAGAGAGUAUAUGCCAUGCAUCUUAUAUGCAUUGAUUCUUUAGGUGGGGUUUUCAUAGAGUUCUCAAGUCCAUUGAUUUUCUAAUGGCAGCAGUGUUAUUUAGAACAGAUAUGUAGGUCGAUAAUCAAUUGUGUGCAAGGAAAUCAACAAAUGCUCAAAAUGUUAGGUUCAGUUGACAAUUCAUGUGCUAUGGAUGGAUCCAACUUCGACUGCAUUACACGGGUGAUAUAAUCAAUCACGGUCACUUGUAGGCUGUAAAUGAUGCAUUGUUAUAUGUCUAUUGACACCUUAUGCAUCUUUGCUUGAGAAACUUAAAUCUUACAGAUCUCUUCUUUUCUCAGGGUCUGGCAUUGGUUAUGCACAAAAAUCAUGAAGGUCCAGCUGUUUUUGUGAUGCUUAAUAAGGCUUUAGAAAUUGCACAGCGGGAAAAAAGAGUCAUUGAGGAGAGGAAUAUAAGAAUUCUGAUUGCACAGAUGCAUGUUGUGAAGGGAGAAUUGGAAGAAGGCUUGAAUAAAUUUCAAGAUUUGGUCAAAGCGGAUCCUCGAGA